AUGUCCAUCAGUCGGAAGAACUGGUCGGCGCUGUCCAGCCUCGCGCGCCAGUGGACGAUGGAGGACGAGGAAGAGGUGGAGCGAGAGAGGAGGAGGAGGGUGAAGAGCUCGAGCGGCGCCGACCCCGACUCUGACGUGGACCACGCAUCCCGAGCGUCGCCCCCCGCUGGGACAGACCCCACCAGUGAGACGUCCCAGAGUCUCAGCAGUGUGGAGCAGAUCCAAAUGGACUUUGUGGAGAUGCUGCGCGUCCGCGAUGAGAAGCGGCGGAUGAGGCACGUGGAGACGCUGCGGCGGCAGAAGGAGGAAGGUGACGACGAAGGAGCCAACGGAGGAGGCGGCGCCAGGGUGGAGCUCCUGGGGGACGUGAACGAGGAGCGCGGCGGCGAGGCGCCCCCUGCGAGAGCCGCGUCCGGACCGCAGCCCCCGAGAACGGCCUCGUCCAGUCACAGCGGCAGCGGCGCCGGCACCAACGGCAUCCCACACCGACAGGCUGAAGGCAGCGAGUCGCUGGGGAAGAGCCCUAAUCCCUCGCCGCCGGUGAACCCGGCCCGCAAGUUCGUCAGCUCCGUCUCCAUCUCGCUCGACAAGGGCUCCCCCUCGAGCGGCCGCAGCGCCCCCAUGAGCCCGCUCUCUCCGGCCGGCCCCGCGUCUCCUCCGCCGCCCUGGUCGCCCUGCCAGAGCCCGCCCCCCCGCGGAGCCAAGAGCCCCGCUCACAACGGAUACGCGCAGCAGACCAGUGACAGCGUCUUUUCCCCCGGCGGCACCUCUGAACAGACGACCAAGCCCUUCAUCAGACAGAGCUCCAGGACUUUGUCUUUCAGGAUGAUGAAGAAGAAAGAGGAGGAGAGCUCGCCGCUGCAGAGGAGUGCAAGUGUGAGAAUGGCUACGAAGAAGUUUGAGUCCAACACAAAUGAAAAUGAAGAAAGUCCAGGAUCUUUUCAACGAAACUCUAGGCAGAGGAUUUCAUCCAGGUCCAUCCAGGAGAAGAUGGAGAGACUGGCUCAGGCUGCACAGAAGUCAGAAGUAACGCGGUCUCCAGAUGUGACUCAGAGGACGUUGUUCCUGAUGGAAGAGGUGUCGAGGAAGAGAGGCCUGUUUGAGAAGGACCAGCAGACAGCGGCGUCCAGCAGCCCUGGAGUUUCACGACAGGAAUUUAGGAACUUUGCAUCGGGGAUGUCAGACCGGAUCAGCCGCUGGCUCAACAAGACCAACCCAACUGGGUCCUUGCACACAUCUGCUGACUUGAGACACGUGGACAUCGGCAGUAAGAGGAGUCUGUUUGAGGCCACAGCAGACGCCUCUGCCUCUAAAAGCAGCCAGACGAAGUAACGUACUGUCCAGGAUUAAGAAGAGAAGGAGACGAAGACAACUGGAAGAUUAAUGGAUGUUGUGACUUGUGGUUUCUUUCAGGCUUUUCUUGUGUUUUUUUUUUACUUAACUGCGAAAACAAAUAGAAGGAACAGACAAGAGAGACAAGCUGAGUUCAGCAUUAGGAGAGAAAAUGGAGAAUUCUGCUUCGGCUCAUAAAGGCUUCAUACACGUCUGCAUUUUCAGGAUUAAGAUAAAAUAUUUGUGUCACUUGUUUCCUCGCCGUUGAGUAGAAGGUAAAAAGCAAAGCAGACAGCGUGAUCUGUGUAAUGUUCCAUGCACUUUAAACAGAUGACGCCCGCAAUGCUGCUGAUGCUCACGUUUAAUAAAUCACAGCCACCGAAACA
ensembl:lncRNA ladinin 1